GGGCCCGCACAAGCGGAGGAACAUGUGGUUUAAUUCGAUGAUACGCGAGGAACCUUACCUGGGCUUGAAUGCAGGUUGACAGACUGGGAAACUGGUUCUUCUUCGGACAACUUGCAAGGUGCUGCAUGGUUGUCGUCAGCUCGUGCCGUGAGGUGUAGGGUUAAGUCCCAUAACGAGCGCAACCCUUAUUGUUAGUUGCCAGCGGGUAAUGCCGGGGACUCUAGCGAAACUGCCGGUGUAAACCGUGAGGAAGGAGGGGAUGACGUCAAAUCAGCACGGCCCUUAUGUCCAGGGCGACACACGUGUUACAAUGGCCGGUACAAAGGGCAGCUACCUGGUGACAGGAUGCUAAUCUCCAAAACCGGUCUCAGUUCGGAUCGAAGUCUGCAACUCGACUUCGUGAAGCCGGAUUCGCUAGUAAUCGCGCAUCAGCCACGGCGCGGUGAAUACGUUCCCGGGCCUU
rnacentral:rRNA from 1 species